ACCAGCAUGUCUUAGUGGUUUGAGUGUUAGACUAUGACUCUAGAGGCCAGGGUUAGAUUCCUGGCUUGGAC